rnacentral:rRNA from 1 species
UGAUUGAGUUUGAUCCUGGCUCAGGAUGAACGCUGGCGGUGUGGAUAAGGCAUGCAAGUCAAGGGGCCCGCAAGGGCACCGGCGAACGAGGUAGUAACACGUGGGAACAUACCCUUUAGUCAGGAAUAACUAGUCGAAAGAUUAGCUAAUACUUGAUAGUCUCUUCGGAGUAAAGAUUUAUCGCUAAAGGAAUGGCCUGCGGAGUAUCAGCUAGUUGGUAGGGUAAUGGCCUACCAAGGCUAUGACGCUUAGGGGAGGUGAGAGCCUGGCCCCCAUCGAUGGUACUGAGACACGGACCAUACACCUACGGGUGGCUGCAGCCGAGAAUAUUCGACAAUGGGCGAAAGCCUGAUCGAGCGACACCGCGUGAUGGAUGAAGUCCCUCUGGGACGUAAACAUCUUUUAUGAGGGAGAAAGUUUAUUGAUAGUACCUCACGAAUAAGGGGUUGCUAAACUCGUGCCAGC